rnacentral:rRNA from 1 species
AGUGAACGCUGGCGGUAGGCCUAACACAUGCAAGUCGAACGGCAGCACAGGAGAGCUUGCUCUCUGGGUGGCGAGUGGCGGACGGGUGAGGAAUACAUCGGAAUCUACUCUGUCGUGGGGGAUAACGUAGGGAAACUUACGCUAAUACCGCAUACGACCUACGGGUGAAAGCAGGGGACCUUCGGGCCUUGCGCGAUUGAAUGAGCCGAUGUCGGAUUAGCUAGUUGGCGGGGUAAAGGCCCACCAAGGCGACGAUCCGUAGCUGGUCUGAGAGGAUGAUCCGCCGCACUGGAACUGAGACACGGUCCAGACUCCUACGGGGGGCAGCAGUGGGGAAUAUUGGACAAUGGGCGCAAGCCUGAUCCAGCCAUACCGCGUGGGUGAAGAAGGCCUUCGGGUUGUAAAGCCCUUUUGUUGGGAAAGAAAUCCAGCUGGCUAAUACCCGGUUGGGAUGACGGUACCCAAAGAAUAAGCACCGGCUAACUUCGUGCCAGCCGCCGCCGUAA